GAGCCUAAAAACUCCCUCAAGCACAAAAGUUUGGUCCCAACUUUAGAAUCAAUUUUUUCUUAACUUACACAUGCAAGUCUCCUCAACCCUGUGAGUAAACCCCCACCCUCCCCCUCGGAACAAAGGCUCGAUAUAAGGCUCCACAACUUGCCCAAGACAUCUAGCUUCAGCCACACCCAUAAGGGAUACAGCAGUGAUUAACAUUAUCCAUAAGUGCCAACUUGAUCUAGUCAAAGAAAUAUAAGGCCGGCAAAGUUAGUGCCAGCCGCCGCGGUUACACUAUAUGCCUAAACUGAUUCUCGCCGGCGUAAAGCGUGGUUAAAGCCAUUAAUAAAUUAGAGUUAAAUUCUAAUAGAGCAGUCAAAUGCCUAUUUACAAGAAACCCAUAAACGAAAGUUACUCUACCUUAACACUUGAACCCACGAUAGCCAAGACACAAACUAGGAUUAGACACCCUACUAUGCCUGGCCAUAAACCUUAAAUUACCCUAUAAU
rnacentral:rRNA from 1 species